rnacentral:rRNA from 1 species
AAUGAACGCUGGCGGCAUGCCUUACACAUGCAAGUCGAACGGCAGCAUGACCUAGCUUGCUAGGUUGAUGGCGAGUGGCGAACGGGUGAGUAAUGCAUCGGAACGUGCCUUUUAGUGGGGGAUAACGUAGCGAAAGUUACGCUAAUACCGCAUAUUCUCUGAGGAGGUAAGCAGGGGGCCUUCGGGCCUUGCGCUAGAAGAGCGGCCGAUGUCGGAUUAGCUAGUUGGUGAGGUAAAGGCUCACCAAGGCAACGAUCCGUAGCGGGUCUGAGAGGAUGAUCCGCCACACUGGGACUGAGACACGGCCCAGACUCCUACGGGAGGCAGCAGUGGGGAAUUUUGGACAAUGGGCGCAAGCCUGAUCCAGCCAUGCCGCGUGAGUGAAGAAGGCCUUCGGGUUGUAAAGCUCUUUCGGCUGGGAAGAAAUCGCACUCUCUAAUACAGGGUGUGGAUGACGGUACCAGCAGAAGAAGCACCGGCUAACUACGUG